GUUCAGAUUCCUGCAAAUCACAUGACUGAACAUAAACUGAAAAUGAAAGUAAAUUGAAUUCACUUAAAUAAUAGAACAGGUCACAUCACCCUUCCCUCUGUUGUUUGGUACAGUUCCACUAGACAAAAGAGAGAGAAGCUCAGGUGUGGUCCUCAUACCCUUCUGACAUCGGAGAAGCAUUUCAAGCUCAGAUGGAAAAAGGAAAGGCAAGUCAACAAUCACCACUGCAAUCAAAAACAUGGAAACAGGCAUCACUAACAGCAACAACAGCACUGACAAUAGCAGCAGUUGCUAUAGUAGUACAUAGGGCAGGAACAACAGAAGUAGUUGAUAAAAUAGCAGGAGCAGUUGCAGCAGCAAUUGCAGGAGCAGCAGCAAGUAUAGGAGUAGCCAUUUUACAGUCACCAUGGGGAGCAGAAGAAAGAGCAUUAACAGCAGUAGCAGGUGUAGUAGCAGCAGUAGCGGGUGCAGUAGCAGGAGGGGUAGCAGGAACAGCAGCAGCAAUAUUGGGAUCAUUAGCUGGAGCACAGUCACAAACUGGAUCAGCAGUAGCAGGAGCAAUGGCAGGAUCCGCAACAGUUGCACUAGCAAGAACACAAUUACAAUGGGCAACAAAUAAAAUACCGUGGGUAAUAGAUAACCUAAAAUGGGCACUGAGGUUUAUACAAGAAGCAAAAAAAGAAUUACCCAUAGUAGCUGGAGUAUCAGUAUUAGCAGCAGUAGUAGCAGCAGUAGGUGCAGCAGCAGCAGGUGCAGCGGCAGCAGUAAUAGCAGCAGUAGGUGCAGCGGCAGCAGUAAUAGCAGCAGUAGUAGAAGGAACAGCAAGAUUAGGAUUAUUCCGUGGAAUUUUUGGAGGGUUACUGAGUAGACUACGAAUAAUUUUUGGAUCACAGUGGGGGAAAUGGACUCAAGCAGCAGUGAAGACAGAUAAAUCUCCACCGUCAAACAACUCUUCACAGACGGCUAGAGAUGAAUUGUGGACUAAGGAGACAACAGAAACAGACAAAUAUUCUAUAAUGACAGGUAAA
rnacentral:lncRNA from 1 species